GUGGGGAAUCUUGCACAAUGGGGGAAACCCUGAUGCAGCGACGCCGCGUGGGUGAUGAAGCUCUUCGGAGUGUAAAGCCCUUUCGGCAGGGACGAAUCAAGACGGUACCUGCAAAAGAAGCCCCGGCUAACUACGUGCCAGCAGCCGCGGUAAUACGUAGGGGGCUAGCGUUGUUCGGAAUUACUGGGCGUAAAGAGCGCGUAGGCGGUGCGGUGUGUUUGGUGUGAAAUCUCCCGGCUCAACCGGGAGGGGCCAUCGAAAACUGCCGUGCUGGAGUGCGGAAGAGGGCAGUGGAAUUCCCGGUGUAGCGGUGAAAUGCGUAGAGAUCGGGAGGAACACCUGUGUCGAAGGAGGCUGCCUGGGCCGCAACUGACGCUGAGGCGCGAAAGCUAGGGGAGCAAACAGGAUUAGAUACCCGGGUAGUCC
rnacentral:rRNA from 1 species